AACGCUGGCUGUGUGCCUAAUACAUGCAUGUCGAGCGGAGUUCUUCGGAACUUAGCGGCGAAUGGGUGAGUAACACGUACUUAACAUGCCCUCUAGAUUGGAAUAACGAUUAGAAAUGAUCGCUAAUGCCGGAUACUUAUAUCUUUCGCAUGAAGGAUAUAUAAAAGGAGCGUUUGCUUCGCUAGAGGAUUGGGGUGCGUAACAUUAGCUAGUUGGUAGGGUAAUGGCCUACCAAGGCUAUGAUGUUUAGCGGGGUUGAGAGACUGAUCCGCCACACUGGGACUGAGAUACGGCCCAGACUCCUACGGGAGGCAGCAGUAGGGAAUUUUCCACAAUGGACGAAAGUCUGAUGGAGCGACACAGCGUGCAGGAUGACGGCCUUCGGGUUGUAAACUGCUGUUAUAAGGGAAGAAAAAAUAAAGUAGGAAAUGACUUUAUCUUGACGGUACCUUGUCAGAAAGCAACGGCUAACUAUGUGCCAGCAGCCGCGGUAAUACAUAGGUUGCAAGCGUUAUCCGGAAUUAUUGGGCGUAAAGCGUCUGUAGGUUGUUUGUUAAGUCUGACGUGAAAACUUGGGGCUCAACCCCAAAUUGCGUUGGAUACUGGCAAACUAGAGUUAUGAAGAGGUUAGCGGAAUUCCUUGUGAAGCGGUGAAAUGCGUAGAUAUAAGGAAGAACACCAACUUGGCGAAGGCAGCUAACUGGGCAUACACUGACACUGAGAGACGAAAGCGUGGGGAGCAAACAGGAUUAGAUACCCUGGUAGUCCACGCUGUAAACGAUGAUGAUUAGCUGAUGGGGAACUCAUCGGCACAGCUAACGCAUUAAAUCAUCCGCCUGAGUAGUAUGCUCGCAAGAGUGAAACUUAAAGGAAUUGACGGGGAUCCGCACAAGCGGUGGAGCAUGUGGUUUAAUUUGAAGAUACGCGUAGAACCUUACCCACUCUUGACAUCUUCCGCAAAGCUAUAGAGAUAUAGUGGAGGCUAACGGAAUGACAGAUGGUGCAUGGUUGUCGUCAGCUCGUGUCGUGAGAUGUUCGGUUAAGUCCUGCAACGAGCGCAACCCUUGUCCUUAGUUAAAUGUUCUAAGGAGACUGCCCGAGUAAUUGGGAGGAAGGUGGGGACGACGUCAAAUCAUCAUGCCUCUUACGAGKGGGGCAACACACGUGCUACAAUGGACGGUACAAAGAGACGCAAUACGGCGACGUGGAGCAAAUCUCAAAAAACCGUUCUCAGUUCGGAUUGUAGUCUGCAACUCGACUACAUGAAGUCGGAAUCGCUAGUAAUCGUAGAUCAGCUACGCUACGGUGAAUACGUUCUCGGGUCUUGUACACACCGCCCGUCACACCAUGGGAGCUGGUAAUGCCCGAAGUCGGUUUUGUUAACUACGGAGACAACUGCCUAAGGCAGGACUGGUGACUGGGGUGAAGUCGUAACAAGGUAUCCCUACGAGAACGUGGGGAUGGAUUACCUCCUUUCU
rnacentral:rRNA from 1 species